rnacentral:lncRNA from 1 species
GUAACACUAAUUGCCUCUGAAAACAGGGUCUAUAGGUUGGAUGUGGCUCUGCUAGGCUUAACUGGAAUCAGUUGGGCUUGACUUCAGGCUGCUGGUUGGGUUCAAGCCUGUUCCAUAUAUUUCCUCAUUCUUCUUGGACCAGUGGCUACCUGGAACAUGUUCUUCCCCCGGAGGGUCACUGGAGUCCAAGAGAGAAGAUUAGCCCCAAGCUAACAUCUGCUGCCAAUCCUCCUGUCUUUGCUGAGGAAGACUGGCCCUGAGCUAACAUCCGUGCCCAUCUUCCACUACUUUAUAUGUGGGAUGCCUACCACAGCAUGGCUUGCCAAGCAGUGCCAUGUCCGCACCUGGGAUCUGAACCAGCGAACCCUGGACCGCUGAAGCAGAACGUGCACACUUAACCACUGGGCCACUUGGCUGGCCCCUAAAGAGUCAUAUAGGAAGGAGGUAGAUGUAGAAUUCCAAUACAGGAAGGCCGUGAAGUAUUGGGAAUAAUGAUUCAAGCUAUCACACCAUUUUUAAAGAGCUCAUUGUGCUCCUUAAUGGCUCAAGAAUAAUGACUCUGGGUAAAUGCAAUCCAAGAUGCAAAAUCUCUGGUCCAUAAACAACUUUAUCCUGCUGAACUGGUAACCUCAGUUUCCUUGGGUUGGUAAAGACUGAGGCAAUGAAGUAAAUCAAUCACUUAUUUGAAUAAUCUGUAUAUAUUUGCUAUUUAUUUGGGGGAAAGGGGAGCAAGAUAAGUGGCAG